rnacentral:lncRNA from 1 species
GUAUUGAAGUGACAGCGCAAGAGUUGUGAUGGGAAGGGAAGAGCGUGUGAUGAUGAGAUUAUGGACGGGUUGAGUGAAGGUGAGCCGUCAGGAAGACACUAAUAGGAUAGGUUGUUAUAGGCCUGUUAGGUUAAGUCAUAUCAGGAGGAGAACCAGGAUAGAAGUUAAGAGUGGGGCUCUUGGCUGGCAUUGUUUACAUUGUAAUUUCUUGAUUCAAGUUGCUAAGCACAGGUUUUAGAGGAUUAUCAUGAGUAGCGAAGAUGGUGAUUGAGCGUAAGAAGAGGACAGCUA